AGAGCUGCUGUAGGGGGCGGCUGUGUGGUCCUAGCUCCUUGCAUCUUUUUCUAGGCCCAUCAGCCUCGGGCCAGGAGGCAGAGGCGUUUUAGGCUCCGAAGUCUGAAGCCGGGAGGGCAGGCAAGGGAGACAGCUUUUAACCAAAAAAAGCCCUUGUGGAUAGUGGCUUAGUGCCGUUGGUCGUGAAGGAGGGAGGCCACCGGCGGGUUUAUGUGGCUUCUGCCUGAGACGGCCGUUUUUCCCGUUAUAAGCGGGGGAAGACGAAAAUGGCCGCUGCGUCCCCGCGGUGUUGGGGGAGGGGAACGAUAUCUUAUUUCGGCGUUGCUCUCCUGCGAAGGUCCGCCGCAGCCAUCUUGGGCUGGCGGGCUGGGCGCGCUGCCAGAGGCACAAAAUGGCGGAGGAGCCGCGCGGCAACGCGGGCUCGACCCGCCGCGGGCCGCGCUUCAUAAGGUCGCGUGGUGGGGUGGAAUGAGACAGACGACGUUCUUUGGGGUCUUUGGGCAGGUGUUUAAGUUAACGAAGGACCGUCUUUGCCUCCACGGAAAGGACGGAGUCUGGGAUGUCCUUGGGGCCUCUUAAGAUGAAAGCUAAUCUGAGGCCGACUAAGUUUGGGCCCGUUAGGUGGAGGGGAUUGCGUGAGGGCUUUGUGUUUGGCCUAAAUGAAGCGCUUUUCUCUGAUAAAGGGCUUCCCAGGCAAAAGUCUGUAUCAGUAUUCUGUUAGGACAGACCACAAAAUCGCUAAGAUGAUUUUGUGGACAUCGCUUUUCCACGGGAUUGUGAAGGAGAAAUUGGCGGGCAACAAUUUACGGCGCCGUUAUUUCCUUUGUUUUGAGGCGUUCUAAUACUUAGAACCACAGCGUGUGUUGGGUACACUUUUCCUUCCCUUAAGUUUCCACCUUUUAAAGGUGUUUAGUGAGGGUUAAACUGAAUUGCAGGAACAAGACAGUUCUAGGAUUUAAGAAGCAUACGUAGCUGGUCUGUGAGGCUCUGGGUAUUAGAUUCGGAAAGCAUUGAAUGGUGCGAAGAUACGAGGCUUGCUAGAAUUAAGAGAAAUCUGUUAGAAGGGUAAUAGCAAAGCACCAUAGAAAUUGAUUUUUGAGGCUGUUACGGGAAUAAUUUGUGCUUUAAAAAAAAAUUGUUACCUAAGUUUCCCCUUGUUGGUAGAGCUACCUUAAGAUCUGAAUAUGAUUUAUCAGAAUGCUUUAAUAUUGUGGAUAUUGUCUGGAACUAGAACGUGACAUUUUCAAGCUGACAUUACAAGUGAUUUUAUAAGGUAAGUACCACUGGUUUUGCCAAAAGGUUGAAGAGGAAUUUAGGUGGUGGGGGAAGUGUUAAUGGGAUUUGCCUUGCACAGCCUUUUUUCCUUCUUUCUCUACAACGAAACUCAAAUCUAGGUGGUAAACAUUAAUGCUUUCAUAGUUAUUUUGCCCAGGACUAGGACAGAGCUACAGUUGUGUAUAUUUAUUGAGCCUUAGCGUUAUGUUUUAUGUUGAUUAGUGUUUUUACAUAUGCGACUGUUAACAAGGCAUGGUGACUGAUGUUUGGAAUUUUAAGUGUUUUGACCCAUGUUAGUAUUUGGGGGUGUGGGAUAUGUAGAAUUAGAUAUUGAAAUCACUUAGUAUUGUUUUUAAACUGCAAGCCAAAGCAAGUUCUUCACCAUAGCAAAUUACAGUCUUGAAAUUCCCCCAAAAUCUCUGCUUUGAAUUGGGUUUUGGAGGUUACACUGAGAUUGAUGUUAUCAACGUAGAUUGUUAUGUGACAGUUUGGAUGAGGGGCCCCUUUUUCUCUUUAAUUUUUGUGGUUAGAAAUUAGGUUAAAAGGCAGUCUUCUGAAAAGUCAAAA